CUUAUUUGGCACUCCAAACUUUCUACAAUUAGAAAGAAAAAUACACUUAUGAGGAGUGUAGAAUGAGAUUUUUGGAGUGCUAAUAACAGUUCCCUACAUUUUAUAUAAAUAUAAUGUUAUUUAACACUCAUGUUUUUAAACAUAAGGACAACUUCUAAUUCCUGUAUCAAUCUAUUUUUCAAAUUGAUUAAAAUUUGCCGGGGUGGUGGAUGCUUCGGCUUUGAUGUCUGUCAGUGGUUCAUAAGCUUUGGCUGAUGGAGGCAAUGUGUUCUCUAUAGACUAUGGUGUUUAUCGGUAGCAAGUCAACAAGCACUGAUCCCAGAUCCUUGAACUCUAAGGAAACUUUGGAUCCGCGUUUUGUUUCUGGGGAUAUUGUGAUUUGUGGCAGUGAAUAAUCCUAACGUGCAGAAGGGACUGUUGGUGAAAGAUGGAGGAGGAAGAGGAGGACGAGUAGGUAUGAUUUUGCCAAACACAGCUGCAUCGCUUAAGAAUGCGGAGUUUCAUUUCUAUAUAUGCCAAUUGUGAGGAAAUGCAAAACCGAAGCAUGUUGCAGCCCCAAACAUCAUCAUGAAAACUCUGAAGUGGAACUUCGUGUCCUUGGCAAAAUCACAGUCAGUGGCAGGUUUCACCCUACAGAGGAAGAAUGAUGCCGUCAACAAAUAAGCAACCGGUAUGUGUAUACUGGUAGGCUGGUAGCAAUUCACCAAACCCUGAUCCCACUUCCUUGUUUCGGAAGCAACUUUAAAUUGCUGUGUUGUUGCCAGGGAGACUGAUUUGUUACCGUGGGAUGAGUUCGGGAGUGCAGAAGGGACAGGUGGGAGCUAGUAGGCAUGAUCUUGGCAAAAAUAUGCAAAUGGAAAGGGAAGUUGUGACAGAUUGCCAACUUGUUCCUGCUUUUGACACUUCGCAGAACCGUUACUCUAGCAUUAUGUUUAACAAGCCCAAGAACCUCUGCAACUCUAGCAUUUCUUGGGACUCAGUUGGAGUCCGCCUGCAAUAAAGUCUGCCUUUCAUGACAGCACGCGUAAGCCUCUGCAAGAUGCCUCAACAGCUGCGGAUUCAACCCUGUAUGAUCACGGUGCACACCUCAAUAGUUAGCCUCCUUCCUCAACCUCAGAACAAAAUCAAAAGAACAACGUGCGUUGAAAUGUAGAACUAUUCAUAAUUUCUCAAUUCCCAAUUGAUUUUAGAAUAUAAGAGAUCAGGCAAGAAGCUUUGUAGAGUUGCAAUAACCUAUGGAAGUGACGCAGGACGAAGCAAGAGAGAUACAAACAUAAGCCCUUGAAGAAUACAAUUUUUGAGUCCACCAGAUUUUGGUUGAAAACCCAAAGGUUGUUUUGUUUAAUUGAUUAACUUGAUGCUUACAAAUGAACAGCCAAAUGGCUUAAAUAAAUAUAGUACAUCUGUUGGGACAA